rnacentral:rRNA from 1 species
CAGCCGCCGCGGUAAAACGGAGGGUGCAAGCGUUAAUCGGAAUUACUGGGCGUAAAGCGCACGCAGGCGGUCUGACAAGUCAGAUGUGAAAUCCCCGGGCUUAACCUGGGAACUGCAUUUGAAACUGUCAGGCUGGAGUCUUGUAGAGGGGGGUAGAAUUCCAGGUGUAGCGGUGAAAUGCGUAGAGAUCUGGAGGAAUACCGGUGGCGAAGGCGGCCCCCUGGACAAAGACUGACGCUCAGGUGCGAAAGCGUGGGGAGCAAACAGGAUUAGAUACCCCUGUAGUCCCUGUCUCUUAUAA